rnacentral:rRNA from 1 species
UACGAAGGGGGCUAGCGUUGCUCGGAAUCACUGGGCGUAAAGGGCGCGUAGGCGGCGUUUUAAGUCGGGGGUGAAAGCCUGUGGCUCAACCACAGAAUGGCCUCGAUACUGGGACGCUUGAGUAUGGUAGAGGUUGGUGGAACUGCGAGUGUAGAGGUGAAAUUCGUAGAUAUUGGGAAGAACACCGGUGGCGAAAGGCGGCGACCUGGUCCAUUACUGACGCUGAGGCGCGAGCAGCGUGGGGAGCAAACAGG